AAUAGAUACCCCGGUAGUCCACGCCGUAAACGUUGGGCGCUAGAUGUGGGGGGCCAUUCCACGGUUUCCGCGUCGUAGCUAACGCAUUAAGCGCCCCGCCUGGGGAGUACGGCCGCAAGGCUAAAACUCAAAGGAAUUGACGGGGGCCCGCACAAGCGGCGGAGCACGCGGAUUAAUUCGAUGCAACGCGAAGAACCUUACCAAGGCUUGACAUAUACGAGAACACUGCAGAAAUGUAGGACUCUUUGGACACUCGUAUACAGGUGGUGCAUGGUUGUCGUCAGCUCGUGUCGUGAGAUGUUGGGUUAAGUCCCGCAACGAGCGCAACCCUCGUCGCAUGUUGCCAGCACGUAAAGGUGGGAACUCAUGUGAGACUGCCGGGGUCAACUCGGAGGAAGGUGGGGAUGACGUCAAAUCAUCAUGCCCCUUAUGUCUUGGGCUUCACGCAUGCUACAAUGGCCGGUACAAAGGGCUGCAAUACCGUAAGGUGGAGCGAAUCCCAAAAAGCCGGUCUCAGUUCGGAUUGAGGUCUGCAACUCG
rnacentral:rRNA from 1 species